rnacentral:lncRNA from 1 species
AGUUGUUGGUUUCAAUUCUAUAAUAGGCUGGUUCAAAGAUUCAUAUUCUUGCAAGUUACAAAUCACAAUGGUCCCAGCUCCCUGUACCCCAUAAAUCAGACACAUCUCGACCUCUUAGGUCCACUAACAACAUGUGAAAAAACCCAAAAAAUUUAAGUGGAUUUAAAUCUGAUACUAUUUGCAAUGCCAUGAGCAUAUAACCAAAAAUGGUGGUUAAAUGAUGCUUCUGUUAUGAUUUAGUCAAACAUCUACACAUAUAUAUAUAUAUAUAUAUAUUAUCCUUACUUGUUUGACAACACUUUCGAGAUGGUGGAAUGUGAGGAAUUAAAU